GGCCUCUUAGCUCAGUAGUAGAGCGACAGGUCCCGGUCCUGUAGGUCGCGGGUUCAAUCCCCGUAGGGGUCU
rnacentral:tRNA from 1 species